UACGUAGGUCCCGAGCGUUGUCCGGAUUUAUUGGGCGUAAAGCGAGCGCAGGUGGUUUAUUAAGUCUGGUGUAAAAGGCAGUGGCUCAACCAUUGUAUGCAUUGGAAGCUGGUAGACUUGAGUGCAGGAGAGGAGAGUGGAAUUCCAUGUGUAGCGGUGAAAUGCGUAGAUAUAUGGAGGAACACCGGUGGCGAAAGCGGCUCUCUGGCCUGUAACUGACAUUGAGGCUCGAAAGCGUGGGGAGCAAACAGG
rnacentral:rRNA from 1 species